CGCAGCAAUGCGUGGCAUACGGCUCAGUAACACGUAGUCAACAUGCCCAGGGGACGUGGAUAACCUCGGGAAACUGAGGAUAAACCGCGAUAGGCCAAGGUUUCUGGAAUGGACACUGGCUGAAACCUAUAUGGCCCCUGGAUUGGACUGCGGCCGAUCAGGCUGUUGGUGAGGUAAUGGCCCACCAAACCUGUAACCGGUACGGGCUUUGAGAGAAGGAGCCCGGAGAUGGGCACUGAGACAAGGGCCCAGGCCCUAUGGGGCGCAGCAGGCGCGAAAAUUCUGCAAUAGGCGAAAGCUUGACAGAGUUACUCUGAGUGAUGCCCGCUAAGGGCAUCUUUUGGCACCUCUAAAAAUGGUGCAGAAUAAGGGGUGGGCAAGUCUGGUGUCAGUCGCCGCGGUAAUACCAGCACCCCGAGUGGUCGGGACGAUUAUUGGGCCUAAAGCAUCCGUAGCUUGUUCUGCAAGUCUUCCGUUAAAUCCACCUGCUCAACAGAUGGGCUGCGGGAGAUACUACAGGGCUAGGAGGCGGGAGAGGCAAGCGGUACUCAGUGGGUAGGGGUAAAAUCCUCUGAUCCACUGAAGACCACCAGUGGCGAAGGCGGCUUGCCAGAACGCGCUCGACGGUGAGGGAUGAAAGCUGGGGAAGCAAACCGGAUUAGAUACCCGGGUAGUCCC
rnacentral:rRNA from 1 species